UACGUAGGGUGCAAGCGUUGUCCGGAAUUAUUGGGCGUAAAGAGCUCGUAGGCGGUUUGUCGCGUCUGCCGUGAAAGUCCGGGCUCAACUCCGGAUCUGCGGUGGUACGGGCAGACUAGAGUGCAGUAGGGGAGACUGGAAUUCCUGGUGUAGCGGUGAAAUGCGCAGAUAAUCAGGAGGAACACCGGUGGCGAAGGCGGUUCUCUGGCAAUGUUCUGACGUGAGGAGCGAAAGUGUGGGGAGCGAACAGG
rnacentral:rRNA from 1 species